rnacentral:rRNA from 1 species
UAGAAGUCCACUGAACCUUAUYAUUUAGAGGAAGGAGAAGUCGUAACAAGGUUUCCGUAGGUGAACCUGCGGAAGGAUNAUUGUCGA